GAUCAUGGCUCAGGAUGAACGCUAGCUACAGGCUUAACACAAAAUGCAAGUUGAGGGGCAGCAUGGUCUUAGCUUGCUAAGGCCGAUGGCGACCGGCGCACGGGUGAGUAACGCGUAUCCAACCUGCCUUACACUCUUGGACAGCCUUCUGAAAGGGAGAUUAAUACAAGAUGUUAUCAUGAGUAAGCAUUUUCGCAUGAUUAAAGGUUUACCGGUGUAAGGUGGGGAUGCGUU
rnacentral:rRNA from 1 species